UACAGAGGUCUCAAGCGUUGUUCGGAUUUAUUGGGCGUAAGGGCGCGUAGGCGGCGGGGUAAGUCGGGUGUGAAAUCUCAGGGCUCAACCCUGAAACUGCACUUGAUACUGCUCUGCUUGAGGACUGGAGAGGAGACUGGAAUUCACGGUGUAGCAGUGAAAUGCGUAGAUAUCGUGAGGAAGACCAGUGGCGAAGGCGGGUCUCUGGACAGUUCCUGACGCUGAGGCGCGAAGGCCAGGGGAGCAAACGGG
rnacentral:rRNA from 1 species